CUUAGCCCUAAACAUUGAGGGGGGUAUUACCUCCCCCUCCGCCCGGGAACUACAAGCAUGAGCUUAAAACCCAAAGGACUUGGCGGUGCUUUAGAUCCACCUAGAGGAGCCUGUUCUAGAACCGAUAACCCCCGUUAAACCUCACCCCCCCUGGCUUUUUCCGCCUAUAUACCACCGUCGUCAGUUUACCCCAUGAGGGACUAAUAGUAAGCAAAAUUGGCUCAGCCUAAAACGUUAGGUCGAGGUGUAGUGCAUGGAGGGGGAAGAAAUGGGCUACAUUCGCUGAUUUAGCGAAAACGGACGACAAAAUGAAAUGUUUGUCUGAAGGAGGAUUUAGAAGUAAGUGAAAAAUAGAGUGUUCCACUGAAAUUGGCCCUAAAGCACGCAC
rnacentral:rRNA from 1 species